AUUGAACGCUGGCGGCAGGCUUAACACAUGCAAGUCGAGCGGGGUGAUGGUGCUUGCACUAUCACUUAGCGGCGGACGGGUGAGUAGUGCUUAGGAAUCUGCCUAUUAGUGGGGGACAACAUCUCAAAAGGGAUGCUAAUACCGCAUACGUCCUACGGGAGAAAGCAGGGGAUCACUUGUGACCUUGCGCUAAUAGAUGAGCCUAAGUCGGAUUAGCUAGUUGGUGGGGUAAAGGCCUACCAAGGCGACGAUCUGUAGCGGGUCUGAGAGGAUGAUCCGCCACACUGGGACUGAGACACGGCCCAGACUCCUACGGGAGGCAGCAGUGGGGAAUAUUGGACAAUGGGGGGAACCCUGAUCCAGCCAUGCCGCGUGUGUGAAGAAGGCCUUAUGGUUGUAAAGCACUUUAAGCGAGGAGGAGGCUCUUUUGGUUAAUACCCAAGAUGAGUGGACGUUACUCGCAGAAUAAGCACCGGCUAACUCUGUGCCAGCCGCCGCGGUAA
rnacentral:rRNA from 1 species